UCACAUACCUGGACGGGGUCUAUGAGUGAUCAUGUAGGCCCAUGGCCUAGGUUGUUAACCUCCAUUGCACAUUGCGGAGGGAAAACUGCCUAAUAUCUCCUGAAGAGGGAGAUUCUAUGUCAAAAUUUGUGGUAGUGGUAGCCUACGUUCGCACCGCCCC